UGAACGCUGGCGGCGUGCCUAAAACAUGCAAGUCGAGCGAACGGACGAGAAGCUUGCUUUUCUGAUGUUAGCGGCGGACGGGUGAGUAACACGUGGAUAACCUACCUAUAAGACUGGGAUAACUUCGGGAAACCGGAGCUAAUACCGGAUAAUAUUUUGAACCGCAUGGUUCAAAAGUGAAAGACGGUCUUGCUGUCACUUAUAGAUGGAUCCGCGCUGCAUUAGCUAGUUGGUAAGGUAACGGCUUACCAAGGCAACGAUGCAUAGCCGACCUGAGAGGGUGAUCGGCCACCCGGGAACUGAGACACGGUCCAGACUCCUAAGGGAGGCAGCAGUAGGGAAUCUUCCGCAAUGGGCGAAAGCCUGACGGAGCAGCGCCGCGUGAGUGAUGAAGGUCUUCGGAUCGUAAAACUCUGUUAUUAGGGAAGAACAUAUGUGUAAGUAACUGUGCACAUCUUGACGGUACCUAAUCAGAAAGCCACGGCUAACUACGUG
rnacentral:rRNA from 1 species